AUGCAAGCAUUCUCGAUCGCAACAUGGAGUGGGAGUAAAUCCUGAAUGACGGCAUCGCCGACUGUGCGAACAUUGGCUGAAGCACCAUGGCGGAAGAGCAACUUGAUCAUGUUAACAGAGAACCGUUCAGGAGCUCCAUGGAUUGGAAAGUAUCCGUGCGGGUUCAUGCAGUUGGGAUUGGCAUGGAGACCAUGGAGCCGAGAUGCCUUGCCCUGCAACACAACCUUUGCGCAUCGCAGGGCAUUAUGGCUGACCAUGCAGGUCAAGGUAUCAGAGGUCAUGCUCAAAUUCCAUGCCAUGGCAUUGGGAGAUUUCGCGAACAAGCGGAGGAAGCACCGGACACUAUCCUUUUCCAGUGCAAGCUCCAAACCGUCAAGUAUAUUAUAG
rnacentral:rRNA from 1 species